rnacentral:rRNA from 1 species
GACGAACGCUGGCGGCGUGCCUAAUACAUGCCAGUCGAACGCACAGUUUAUACCGUAGCUUGCUACACCAUAGACUGUGAGUUGCGAACGGGUGAGUAACGCGUAGGUAACCUGCCUGGUAGCGGGGGAUAACUAUUGGAAACGAUAGCUAAUACCGCAUAAUAUUGAUUAUUGCAUGAUAAUUAAUUGAAAGGUGCAAUUGCACCACUACCAGAUGGACCUGCGUUGUAUUAGCUAGUAGGUGAGGUAAGGGCUCACCUAGGCGACGAUACAUAGCCGACCUGAGAGGGUGAACGGCCCAACUGGGACUGAGACACGGCCCAGAAUCCUAAGGGAGGCAGCAGUAGGGAAUCUUCGGCCAUGGACGAAAGGCUGACCGAGGAACGCCGCGUGAGUGAAGAAGGGUUUCGGAUCGUAAAGCUCUGUUGUAAGAGAAGAACGGGUGUGAGAGUGGAAAGUUCACACUGUGACGGUAUCUUACCAGAAAGGAACGGCUAACUACGUG